CUCUGUGACUCCUACGGGAGGCAGCAGUGGGGAAUAUUGGACAAUGGGCGCAAGCCUGAUCCAGCCAUGCCGCGUGAGUGAUGAAGGCCCUAGGGUUGUAAAGCUCUUUCACCGGUGAAGAUAAUGACGGUAACCGGAGAAGAAGCCCCGGCUAACUUCGUGCCAGCAGCCGCGGUAAUACGGAGGGUGCGAGCGUUAAUCGGAAUUACUGGGCGUAAAGCGCAUGCAGGUGGUUUGUUAAGUCAGAUGUGAAAGCCCGGGGCUCAACCUCGGAACUGCAUUUGAAACUGGCAGACUAGAGUACUGUAGAGGGGGUAGAAUUUCAGGUGUAGCGGUGAAAUGCGUAGAGAUCUGAAGGAAUACCGGUGGCGAAGGCGGCCCCCUGGACAGAUACUGACACUCAGAUGCGAAAGCGUGGGGAGCAAACAGGAUUAGAUACCCUGGUAG
rnacentral:rRNA from 1 species